rnacentral:misc_RNA from 1 species
CCGAUUGAAUGAUUUAGUGAGGACUUCGGACUGGUCAAUCUAGACUAUGAGGUAAAACUUAGAGUCAGAUUGUGCUGGAAAGAUGUUCAAACUUGAUCAUUUAGAGGAAGUAAAAGUCGUAACAAGGUUUCCGUAGGUGAACCUGCGGAAGGAUCAUUAACAGAAAAACACUCUUGAUAUCAACGAUAUUGUUUCUUGUUGUUAUCUUCUCUUCGUAGACCUUACUUGUAGGGCUAUAAGAGUAGCAUAAUUAACUUUGAUCAAUAAAGUUUAUCAAAAACAAAUCCAUGCAGGCACACAUACCGUGCUCUGUAUGGUUAAACAUUCAUGUGUAAAAGCAUGAGUGCUAGGUUAUCCAAAGAUAGCCGUAACUAUCCGUAGACGAAAUAUGACAUUCAAUGUAUUGUCAAUCUGCUAGUGUGCUGGUACCUUCUAGUGGCCCAUACCCUCUUCAACCUUAACGGGUAGAAGUUGGAGUAUGGGAUGCAAGGUUCAAAGAGGGAUAAGGUUCUCUUGUUCACAUAUUCAUUAGUUAUUUAUAGCUGUGUUAUGUGUUACUCGUAGAAACGGACUCCGCCAGGCAUCAUCAUCAUGGUUUAACUACCAUAUGUUGGUGUAAUGCAUUAUCAUGUAGAUUAACACGACAAUACUUGAAUUGUCUUUGCUUAUGCAGACUUAAGAUUGAGAAUAAAAGUCCCACGGGGCACUAUACACCUACAAGCGGUGGAUCACUCGAAUUACCGAUCGAUGAAGAACGUAGCUAGCUACGAUAACCGGUGCGAAUCGCAAGAUACGCCGAGCACUUGAACUUCCAACGCACAUUGCGGCUUUCAGUUUAUUCUGAAGUCACAUCUGUCUGAGAGUUGAGAAGAUUCAAUUACUAACUAUCACAUGGAUAGAUACAGGGCCUCUGUCUAUCAUGUAUAGGGAUGACCGGAUGGUCUAUGCUUAGCAGAGUUUAACUACUCUGCUAUGACUUAGUUCACAUACGGCAUCGUAAUAUUUUAAUCCUUUUCUUGGUUCGGUCUUAAUUGAUUCGAACCUAGUAAGGAGUUGCAACGAUGGUGGUGCAUGGUGAAAGCUGUUUGUUGUAUUUUUGCUAAUACAUCAACGGCAACAGAACAACAUUGAUUUGUUGGAAUAUAUUUCACUGGCAGGGGAUACCUGAGAAUGCUGGUCAAUCUGUCGACGCUCAAGUCGAACAGCGGAUUAUCAUGACCCGAUCUAGACAAGGCUUCUCAUUAUAAAGGAUCUCGUUUGUUACAUAAAGGUGGAAUAUAGUCUGUUGACUGUUGGUUGUAUCCUUAGCAGCUUGUACAACGUAUAACAUGUUAGUAGCCGUGUAUCACACAUCUCCUAUCAAGCAAUGUUUGAUUUACACCUUAAUUGGAGUAAAUUUUCCAAACCUUUAACUUUGAUCUCAGAUCAGGUGAGGUUACCCGCCGAAU